rnacentral:rRNA from 1 species
GUGGGGAAUCUUAGACAAUGGGGGAAACCCUGAUCUAGCCAUGCCGCGUGAUCGAUGAAGGCCUUAGGGUUGUAAAGAUCUUUCAGGUGGGAAGAUAAUGACUGUACCACCAGAAGAAGCCCCGGCUAACUCCGUGCCAGCAGCCGCGGUAAUACGGAGGGGGCUAGCGUUGUUCGGAAUUACUGGGCGUAAAGCGCACGUAGGCGGAUUGGAAAGUUGGGGGUGAAAUCCCGGGGCUCAACCCCGGAACUGCCUUCAAAACUCCCAGUCUUGAGUUCGAGAGAUGUGAGUGGAAUUCCGAGUGUAGAGGUGAAAUUCGUAGAUAUUCGGAGGAACACCAGUGGCGAAGGCGGCUCACUGGCUCGAUACUGACGCUGAGGUGCGAAAGCGUGGGGAGCAAACAGGAUUAGAAACCCGUGUAGUCC